rnacentral:sRNA from 1 species
AGGAAAUGGUCAGUAAGUGGCCAAAAAAUGAGAUUUGGACAGCUAUGUUGUGUUUUAUGUUUUGUAUUUAAGAGAACUUGCAGCAGUUAGGUCUGCUUUUGUGUGUGUGUGUGUGUGUGUGUGUGUGUGUGUGUGUGCUGGGGGGCGGGGCAGAGACAGAGAGACACUGGUAUGAUACAAUACAAAAGAUCAGAUGCCCUAGCCUGCCAAGGUGUGACUCAUGCUCCUC